rnacentral:lncRNA from 1 species
GCUGCCGGUCUCGCUCAGUUUAGACGCUCGCUCGCUCAUGCAUGAAGUCUGGUCAGAUAUGGACAGUUUCAUGGCACGAGCCUCUUAAUGUUCCCGCCUCCGCUCAGCGGUGGAUUCAUAGGAGACUUCAUUCAGCUGCUGCUGCGGUUUUUAAUACGGGUCACAUUUAAAACAACGAUCAGAUGGCAGUCACAUUACUGCAGCUCUUUGCUUCCCCCUUUUGGGCAUUAUGUAACCAUUUGAUUUGAUCGUAUUCCAAACUGGUAUGGAUUUUAUUGUGCCCAAUUCAUAGUCAAGCACUUUUAUAUUUUUGGUAGGGCAGACAUUUAAAAAUAUACAGCUUGAGGCUCUUUUUUAAAUUAUGAAGAACAAUGAAAAUGUAGAAUUCACAAAACUGCCCUGCAGUACUCUUGUUGCCUAGGACGUUUAAAAAAAAUCGCCAGUAAUUUCCAGCAUUCGCCUGUAGAUGGCAGCAACUCCGCAUUUAAUCUUUCAGUAUGCUGAGGAAUGAGUAGUAAGGGUUUAGUUUUCUAAUAUAGACAGGUUGUAGUACUUUUAAAUGGUUUAAAUUAAAAUAAUAAUAAUAAUAAUAAUUUAUAAUUUUGUCUGUUAUAUGGCUGGCCAACUGAGAAGAAACUUAAUUACUGUGCAAUGGUUUGCCGCAGUCACAAUAUCUGCAAUGAAACUGGGCGUGGCUCAAGCGUAUUCUCAAGCUGGCCAGGUACGGUGGGAUUUAAAUAAUAAUUGUGUUAAUAAUUUAACUAUUUGAAUUCUUCACGAUAUAUUUUCCGAAUUAUUGUCUAUUCAAAUUCGACCGCUGCACAGUAAUGACGCUGACACAUGUAAUCUGUUACUUUUCUCUGCCUUUGUCAUGAUGUUUGGUUAUACAAUAAUGCACUGUUUAAGAAAAAAAAUAUAGAGGUUAUUUAGGUCUGUAUAUAUCAGUACUUGGAAUUUGUAGACUAACAUAUAAUGUAAAAAUAUUAAUGUACAAAUGUAUCCAGUAUGGCAAAAUAUCAAUACAUCUCAAUGCAGGAUUCUGCUUUUUGGGCCUCCUUGCGCCCUCUAGAGGAACAUAACUCCUUGUCUGCUAUUAAAUAGUAACAUUUGGGAGCAUUACACACCCGUGCGCACUGCAGUCCAUUACAACAGCCUCUACAUGCUGGGACGAAGCCUAACAUGAUAUGUUAGUUAAUUGAACAGGACCUCAUUGCAAGGAUACUCAUAUCUGGAUUUGGAGAGUGCCAUUUUAAGGUAAUGUGCAAUACUUUUACAAUUGGUAGAAGCCUAGAUUGGAAAGUUUGUAUAUUGAUGUUGUCAAAUGUUUUCACUCUCUUCAUGAGUGGUUGGCAACAGCAGAAACUGUAUGUGUGUUAUAUUUAAACACUAACCAUAUAAACAUAAUGAGUGGAAGGAUAUUAUAUUACAUCUGCUUCUAAAUAGUUAAUUUGAGGGGGGAGAGGCUGGGUAGAAAUGAUAGUAAAUAAAUAAAUAAAUGUAGCAGUAAUCCAUAUUUUGGGGUGU